rnacentral:rRNA from 1 species
AGCGAACGCUGGCGGCAGGCUUAACACAUGCAAGUCGAGCGGGCAUAGCAAUAUGUCAGCGGCAGACGGGUGAGUAACGCGUGGGAACGUACCUUUUGGUUCGGAACAACUGAGGGAAACUUCAGCUAAUACCGGAUAAGCCCUUACCGGGGAAAGAUUUAUCGCCGAAAGAUCGGCCCGCGUCUGAUUAGCUAGUUGGUGAGGUAAUGGCUCACCAAGGCGACGAUCAGUAGCUGGUCUGAGAGGAUGAUCAGCCACAUUGGGACUGAGACACGGCCCAAACUCCUACGGGAGGCAGCAGUGGGGAAUAUUGGACAAUGGGCGCAAGCCUGAUCCAGCCAUGCCGCGUGAGUGAUGAAGGCCCUAGGGUUGUAAAGCUCUUUUGUGCGGGAAGAUAAUGACGGUACCGCAAGAAUAAGCCCCGGCUAACUUCGUGC